CCAGCUGGAGGGACUGUAGUUGUACCUGCUGUGCAAGGCCUUGAUGGGAGCUACGGGGCACAGGAAGCUUCAUGGACCUGCGGUAGCUGCUGCCUCCAAGUGACCUGGUCUCUGCUCUCGCACUGCUUAGGCUUUGCUGUAGAUACCAGCACUGGGGAGCAGUGGAGCUAGCGAGGACCACGCCAGUUUGCCUGCAGUGCUCAAGAGCUUCCCAAGUCUGUGUCUCCCAGGAAACAACUUCAUCGAGUGUGAGGAAGCUCCGCAUUUCCAGCUACUUGCUCGCUUCCAUGGAAAGGCUGUAGAAAUGCGGCAAGUCGCAGUGGGUUCCUGAAGAGCAAGUCAGCUUGCAGGAAAACCCAUCCCCAAUCCCGAUGCAGCAGUGCUGGCUGAGCAAUUUUAAAAUCUGCCUUAAUGUUAUUUGAAAAUUCAAGGGAAGACAGUGGUUUAUGAGACAUGUUGCUACCCGCCUGCAAAAUACUUUGUGCAAAAUCCCUAUUUCAGCUUGUGCCCAUAGGGGGCUUAUUUGCUUUCAAUAGGAAGAUUGGAGAGGAAAAAGAAAAAAAGCAGAGAAAAAUGUAAUUUUCGAGUAGAGAUGAAGCACAUGGAGCCUUUUUCACCGCAGCUGGGGCUGCGGCACGCACGGUUCCCGCGUAGGAGGGAUCCUGGUGCAGCCGCACGCACAGGGGCAGAUGCCCUUCACGAGCAGGGACAUCAGCGCCGGGGCCGGUCGCCCUGCUCCCCUACCCUGCUUGUGCUUUAAGGAGCAGCGUGGCUGCAGCCGAGCUUGGCUCUGCCACCCAGGCUUUCUAAAAUAAACUGAAAUCUUCAUGGGAGCGCUCAGAAAGGUUUGCUUCUACAUGGCUGCUGAAUAAACAGAAACCAGGAGGAUUUGCUGUAGAGCACAUUCCAGACCUCAGCUAUAAUGCCAGAGGUCUGAGCGAAUCAAAAUACCAUGGCUCUCAUGAUAAAUAACCAUCAGAGAUAUCUAAUCAUUGUUUUUAAGCAACUAUGGGCUGGCAGAGAAAGCAAGGGUGACCUACAACAAAUGUGCCUGCCCGUGAGGAAAAAGGAAGAAAGAAGGGAUGUGAUGGCACCAUCCUGGAAGCGAUGUGAAGCCCUGAUGCAGCCCAAGAUGCCUGUCUGGAAGCUGAUGCACCUUGCCCAAAGCCUUGCAAAGCCCUUCCUGCAGCGUGGAGUGAAGGCAGCAGCAAAGCUUAGCCAGAACUAGCAAGAGCUGUCCUGGAUGAGCUGCGGUGAGGUCUUUCCUUGGUGUCCCUGAAGACCUGGACCACUGCACUAUCCGCCCUGUUAUGGGCACCUGCAGACACAACCCAAGACCAGAUGCUUUUAAAAACAUUUCUAGGCUCUCUGUAGACACAAAAGUUAAUUGUCAGCUGAAAAAAAAGGAAGCUGCCUUUUGUGUUUGAAACUGUUUCCCAACUCUGUGGUUAGCAGAGAGGUCCCAAAGGGGCCUCAGAGCGGAGGCCAGAUCGGGGAACUGGUGUGGAGCAGCGCGUGCCUGAUGAACAGGAGCUCCUGCCGAAAGAUGGAUGUGGCUUCUCA